UACAGGGGGUGCAAACGUUGCUCGGAAUCAUUGGGCGUAAAGCGCACGUAGGCGGUUCGUUAUGUCGGAUGUGAAAGCCCUUGGCUUAACCGAGGAAGUGCAUCCGAAACUGGCGAGCUAGAGUACUAAAGAGGAUCGCGGAAUUCCCGGUGUAGAGGUGAAAUUCGUAGAUAUCGGGAGGAACACCGGUGGCGAAGGCGGGUCUCUGGGCCGUAACUGACGCUGAGGAGCGAAAGCAUGGGGAGCGAACAGG
rnacentral:rRNA from 1 species